GAUGAACGCUGGCGGCGUGCCUAAUACAUGCAAGUCGAGCGAACGGACGAGAAGCUUGCUUCUCUGAUGUUAGCGGCGGACGGGUGAGUAACACGUGGAUAACCUACCUAUAAGACUGGGAUAACUUCGGGAAACCGUAGCUAAUACCGGAUAAUAUUUUGAACCGCAUGGUUCAAAAGUGAAAGACGGUCUUGCUGUCACUUAUAGAUGGAUCCGCGCUGCAUUAGCUAGUUGGUAAGGUAACGGCUUACCAAGGCAACGAUGCAUAGCCGACCUGAGAGGGUGAUCGGCCACACUGGAACUGAGACACGGUCCAGACUCCUACGGGAGGCAGCAGUAAGGAAUCUUCCGCAAUGGGCGAAAGCCUGACGGAGCAACGCCGCGUGAGUGAUGAAGGUCUUCGGAUCGUAAAACUCUGUUAUUAGGGAAGAACAUAUGUGUAAGUAACUGUGCACAUCUUGACGGUACCUAAUCAGAAAGCCACGGCUAACUACGUGCCAGCAGCCGCGGUAAUACGUAGGUGGCAAGCGUUAUCCGGAAUUAUUGGGCGUAAAGCGCGCGUAGGCGGUUUUUUAAGUCUGAUGUGAAAGCCCACGGCUCAACCGUGGAGGGUCAUUGGAAACUGGAAAACUUGAGUGCAGAAGAGGAAAGUGGAAUUCCAUGUGUAGCGGUGAAAUGCGCAGAGAUAUGGAGGAACACCAGUGGCGAAGGCGACUUUCUGGUCUGUAACUGACGCUGAUGUGCGAAAGCGUGGGGAUCAAACAGGAUUAGAUACCCUGGUAGUCCACGCCGUAAACGAUGAGUGCUAAGUGUUAGGGGGUUUCCGCCCCUUAGUGCUGCAGCUAACGCAUUAAGCACUCCGCCUGGGGAGUACGACCGCAAGGUUGAAACUCAAAGGAAUUGACGGGGACCCGCACAAGCGGUGGAGCAUGUGGUUUAAUUCGAAGCAACGCGAAGAACCUUACCAAAUCUUGACAUCCUUUGACAACUCUAGAGAUAGAGCCUUCCCCUUCGGGGGACAAAGUGACAGGUGGUGCAUGGUUGUCGUCAGCUCGUGUCGUGAGAUGUUGGGUUAAGUCCCGCAACGAGCGCAACCCUUAAGCUUAGUUGCCAUCAUUAAGUUGGGCACUCUAAGUUGACUGCCGGUGACAAACCGGAGGAAGGUGGGGAUGAAGUCAAAUCAUCAUGCCCCUUAUGAUUUGGGCUACACACGUGCUACAAUGGACAAUACAAAGGGCAGCGAAACCGCGAGGUCAAGCAAAUCCCAUAAAGUUGUUCUCAGUUCGGAUUGUAGUCUGCAACUCGACUACAUGAAGCUGGAAUCGCUAGUAAUCGUAGAUCAGCAUGCUACGGUGAAUACGUUCCCGGGUCU
rnacentral:rRNA from 1 species